rnacentral:rRNA from 1 species
CGCAAUGGACGAAAGUCUGACGGAGCAACGCCGCGUGAGCGAAGACGGUCUUCGGAUCGUAAAGCUCUGUUGUUAGGGAAGAACAGGUACCGUUCGAAUAGGGCGGUACCUUGACGGUACCUAACCAGAAAGCCACGGCUAACUACGUGCCAGCAG